AUCUACGGAAACCUUAUUUGUAUUCCUGUUUUCAAAUUGUAAACAAUAAUCAUACUCUCAUGAAAUUAAAGUAUAAACUUUCCUCAACCCAUUACGUGUGCAUGAACUCAACAAAUGCAGUCCAUGCGUCUGUAUCGAUUCGCUCGAUCGAGUUAUUUUUAUGUUUCGUCCCGAAAAAGAUCCGAAUCGUUUGUGAAUCUCAUCACUGUUAGAAAUCCAAGAGAAGAGAUCCUCUUCCCUUAACAUCAUCAGAAGACAAAUCUGCUUCUUAAUCAAUUAGUUUCAGCGUUUGUCUCUUCUUGAGCAAGGCGUGGUGAGACACUUUACACAAGAUUUACGACUCUGUGGUCUGUGUGUUCUGGUAUCUGCUGAGUCACCAGAAAUCUGCCAAGACACUGACACUUGCGCCUGCUCCAACAUCUGGCGCAUAAGGGCUUUAAGGUUUCCAGAACCAAGCUGCAAUAUUGCAUGGACACUUAAGUAUAUGAACUUUUGAAGUUUUGAACUUUCUCAAGGCUGCCAUUCUAGACACAAAACGCCCUGCAACUAAACAUGCACUGAUGUCUUUUCUGGGUCAGAAAAUGGAUCCCUGACUGCUCUUUAUAUGACAAGCUUCUCCGUUCUGCAAUCUCUCAUCACGAUCCACUACUACUGACGCUAUGGUGGUCGCUUAUCACUCCCUCAAAAGCACCCUGCUCACUUCAAGCCCUUCCACCUCUAUGCCUGUGAACACCAAGGCACAGCCUCUGGGGAGCAUGAGGGGGGGGAAAUGCGUUUGUGUUUUUAUCCAAAACAUUAGACAUUGUUGCUCAAGGCUUACCUGCGUGUCUGGGGGCUGUCUCCGCAUAUGCUUUGAUGGUUUUAGAUGCGGAAAAAUUGGUUUUGUCUCACCCACUGAUCUUGCACUCGUCACAUCAAGUUAAACAGGUGUUGCAAAAUUUACAGACCCAUUAAAUUAAUUUAAUCAGUAAUUUAAUAGAUAAUUAAAUUAACAUAUGACUAUUUAUUCUCUGUUCUACUAACAAUCUCGAAAUUCGUGUCACAUCCUCUUUUGAUAAUGUAGGUCGCGCUCUCGCACACCUCCUUAAUUCUCGGGAUGAUACUUGGGAUGACAUUGAUAUUGUCUGUCUAAAAAUCGUGCAUACUACUAGUAUCAGGUCUGAUCUCUCCUCCAGCCCUCUAGGGAUGGGGGAAGUACUCUUUGUUGAUGGUUAUUCUGUGGUUAUUCUGUGUGUUCAAUCAAUAUCAGCCUGAUAUUCUGCAUGAGACAUACGCUCUUCCGUUCUCAUUUGAUUUUUGUCAUCUUGAUUGUGGACAAAUUCUCUAAAUGGGUAGAAGUUUUUUUUCUGUUUUCGAGAGAACACGAAGGUAGUUACUCGUUUUAAUACCUAGUUAUAAUAAUAAUAAUAAUAAUAAUGAUACAUUUUAUUUAUAAGUGCCUUUCAAGGUACCCAAGGACACUGGACAGUAAAAAAGAAAACAAACAAUAAAAGCAGAACAAUAAUAAUAAAUCAAGAAAUCAAUAAUAAUUAUUAUUAUAGUUAUGGGGUUUCAAAUGCCAUAGACUCAGACAAAGGUACCCCUUUUUACUUCAAAAGUCACACAAAACCUUUGUAAGUAUCUCUAAACUAAACUGGUGUUUUCACAUUCCUCAAUCCUCUGGUAUCGUAGAACGUACUAAUCGAACAUUGAAAGACAAAUUAAUUAAGGUCAUGCAGGACACAGGUUUAGUUCUGUAAUCCAUAAUUCAUUCUGGCUGAAAUUCGCAUGACACCAAGAAAUUAUUUUUGGAAGACCUUUCCCCUCUCCCCUGGAAGAAGGGAACUCCGGCUCUGGGUACCUCUGAUUUGAAAAUGCAUAUGGAUGAGUAUUCUGCAGCCCUUUAGAUAAGUUGUAUAAAAUUUGUACCAAGGUCAAUAGUACAAUAUCUCCACCACACACCCCUUUCAUGUGGGAGACAAGUGCUGGUGUGAUUUUUUUUUAAAGUAAUGAUUUGGACAAUUGGGAAAACAAUAUAAUGGGUCUGCAGACAUAGUCGCCAUUACUUCUACUGCUGUUUUAACUGAUCUUUUUCCACAGUGGAUCCAUGCCACGCGAUUGAAGAAGGCUCCAUAACAAAGUUGUGUUACAAUGACAAGUUUGCUACUAACGUUUUCUCUGUGUCCCGAUAAUCUCUGUUCUCUCUCUCUGUCUCUCUAUUUCUGAGCUCUACACAGAUUCAACUGAGAAUCCUCAAGACGUUGUGAACAAAGAGGGGAAGAGAUCUUCGCCCCAUUUGGAACCAAUCAUCCUCACUACAACCAUGACAGUCCUCAUCACGGGUUUCGUGACUGCUUCAUUGUUGCUCGGGGCAGGGCUACCCGCCCGAGCCUUCGUGACUGCUUCAUCUUUUGCUCGGGGCAGGGCUACCCGCCCGAGCCUUCGUGACUGCUUCAUCUUUUGCUCGGGGCAGGGCUACCCGCCCGAGCCUUCUGGACCACGUCAUUGCUCGGAGCAGGGUUACCCGCUCGAGCUGGACUUCGAGACAACAUCUUCUGGACAAACUUCGCUAACUGGACUGCGCAAGCGCACACCACACGAAUGUGUUAUGUCUUUCAUCUGAUGCUGUCUUCUACUAUUAUUACACAUCUCUAUGCUCUGAAACUCUGUAUUCUUACAGGACUCUGUUCUCACUAUAGGUCGAUAUGCCUUCUAAUUUCAUUUUUCCUCACUGUUUUAGAACAAAUUACUCUGAAGGAAGUAGCGUGUAUUUGGGACGAAUUAAGAGGUUUUGAGUUUCUCUAAGCUCCGGUGAGGUGGGACGAGGGCUGGUCGGGCAUGCCCGCCCUCUGAGCACCAAUAUACGUCAAGAAGGGCAAAGAUUAACUCAAGAUUAAUUCUCGAUGUAAUCACAUAUAUGAUCAUGAGGUAAUAAUAUAUGAUCCUAGGAUUUGAUAAUAGUGAUACUAUUAUCAAAGGGGGGGGAUUGUUAGGUUUAUAUAAGUAUUAUUCUUGACCAAGAAGGCAGUAAUUUAUUAAAAUGGUGACAAAAUUAAGGAUUAACUUCGGUUCAGUUAAAAAUGACCUUCUGUCUCGGCUGGACAUUGUUUGGGAACAUUUUGUUUAUUUUGAUAUGAAAUGUGUAUUUUUGAUCAGAGAUGUGUCUGAACGACGCCAAGGUCUGUUUUGAUGUCAGAUCGACCCACACACACUUUAAUGUUGGAUGUAAUGGUAGCCUUAUUGCUGAACAAAGAGUUAAGACUUUAUAUUUUAGAUCUAAGAUCUAAGUUAGUUUUAUAGUUUUAAGUUAGUUUUAUAAUUACAGAAUAUAAUUUAGGGUUGUUAAGACCUUAUGAUUCUAAUGUUAAGACUUCAUGAGUUUAAUCCUGAAUCCUGUUUGACCUUUCUCUGGUGAAGUAGCAUUUCUUUGCUUUGCCAGACAUAUUCUUAUUUUUCGUAUGACUGUCUUUUAGGUUUGUUCUUAUUUACUUAUAACAUAUCUUUGUUGAAAGAUUCCGUAUGUGCGUAAGCAAUGUUUGUAUCUUGCUAUCAUGUCAUAUGAUCAGAUAUGUUAUUAUGUUAUGAUUAUUUGACCUGCCCCAAGAUCAAGCUGCUCACUUGCUCGCAAGUCAAUCACACACACAUACAUCUGAACAUUCCAUCAGAACAGUGAUAUAAUUAAAAUGUGACCUGCUCACACACACACACACACACACACAUAGACACAGAUAUCAAAAUGAUGUCACUUACUCACACCCUCCCAUAGACACACACACACACACACACACACCCUUCUGUGAGGUCACAUACAAACACACACACACAUUCGACAGACACAAUAGCCGUUUGGAGAGAUUAUGAUUUGUUAUAAAAGGUGUUUGUAAUCUUUCAUCUUUGGCGAGAAUACUGUGAAUAAACAGCAGUUA